AACUCGGGUGAAUUGACGGGGGCCCGCACAAGCGGUGGAGCAUGUGGUUUAAUUCGAUGCAACGCGAAGAACCUUACCUACUCUUGACAUCCAGAGAACUUUCCAGAGAUGGAUUGGUGCCUUCGGGAACUCUGAGACAGGUGCUGCAUGGCUGUCGUCAGCUCGUGUUGUGAAAUGUUGGGUUAAGUCCCGCAACGAGCGCAACCCUUAUCCUUGUUUGCCAGCGAGUAAUGUCAAAAACUCCAGGGAGACUGCCGGUGAUAAACCGGAGGAAGGUGGGGACGACGUCAAGUCAUCAUGGCCCUUACGAGUAGGGCUACACACGUGCUACAAUGGCGCAUACAGAGGGCGGCCAACUUGCGAGAGUGAGCGAAUCCCUUUAAGUGCGUCGUAGUCCGGAUCGGAGUCUGCAACUCGACUCCGUGAAGUCGGAAUCGCUAGUAAUCGUGGAUCAGAAUGCCACGGUGAAUACGUUCCCCCCCCUUGUACACAC
rnacentral:rRNA from 1 species